rnacentral:rRNA from 1 species
CUUUGGGAUAACCCUCGGAAACGGGGGCUAAUACCGGAUAUGACCUUCGGCCGCAUGGUUGGGGGUGGAGAGUUUUUUCGGCCUGGGAUGGGCUCGCGGCCUAUCAGCUUGUUGGUGGGGUGAUGGCCUACCAAGGCGACGACGGGUAGCCGGCCUGAGAGGGCGACCGGCCACACUGGGACUGAGACACGGCCCAGACUCCUACGGGAGGCAGCAGUGGGGAAUAUUGCACAAUGGGCGGAAGCCUGAUGCAGCGACGCCGCGUGAGGGACGACGGCCUUCGGGUUGUAAACCUCUUUCAGCAGGGACGAAGCGCAAGUGGCGGUACCUGCAGAAGAAGCGCCGGCCAACUACGUGCCAGCAGCCGCGGUAAGACGUAGGGCGCGAGCGUUGUCCGGAUUUAUUGGGCGUAAAGAGCUCGUAGGCGGCUUGUCGCGUCGACUGUGAAAACCCACAGCUCAACUGUGGGCUUGCAGCCGAUACGGGCAGGCUAGAGUUCGGUAGGGGAGACUGGAAUUCCUGGUGUAGCGGUGAAAUGCGCAGAUAUCAGGAGGAACACCGGUGGCGAAGGCGGGUCUCUGGGCCGAUACUGACGCUGGGGAGCGAAAGCGUGGGGAGCGAACAGGAUUAGAUACCCUGGUAGUCCACGCUGUAAACGUUGGGCGC